CAAGCGAAUAAGCGCACACGGUGGAUGCCUAGGCGGUCAGAGGCGAUGAAGGACGUGGUAGCCUGCGAAAAGUGUCGGGGAGCUGGCAACAAGCUUUGAUCCGGCAAUAUCCGAAUGGGGAAACCCACUGCUUCGGCAGUAUCCUGCAGUGAAUUCAUAGCUGCUGGAAGCGAACCCGGUGAACUGAAAUAUCUAAGUAACCGGAGGAAAAGAAAUCAACCGAGAUUCCCUAAGUAGUGACGAGCGAACGGGGAGCAGCCCUUAAGCUGGAAUGGCUUUAGAAAAACAAUCUGGAAAGAUUGGCCAUAGAAGGUGAUAGCCCUGUAUUUAAAAGGGCCACUCCAGUGAAGACGAGUAGGGCGGGGCACGUGAAACCCUGUCUGAAUAUGGGGGGACCAUCCUCCAAGGCUAAAUACUCUAACAACGCAUGC
rnacentral:rRNA from 1 species